AGUGGAUGGAUGGAUGGAUGGAUGGAUGGAUGGAUGGAUGGAUGAGUGGAUGGAUGGAUGGAUGGAUGGAUGAGUGGAUGGAUGGAUGGAUGAAUGAAUAUAAAGUAUCCCUUUCUUGGUGCCAGAAUAAAAUAAGAUGAAAUAAGAAAAGAAGUUGGGCUACGUCCUGCUGGCAGUGCCCCAUGCUUACUGUAUGUAACAAUCAUUGGAGCUUCUUCUUAUAAAUCUAGGUUCCUGGGCCUACCUGGAGGAUCUGGCUCCUUGAGAAUGAGGGGCUCUAAGAACCUAUGAAGAAUCAACAGCAUUCCUGCAUGCAGUCAGGAGCCCUACAGGUGAAGAACAGGAUGAGGGCUUAGGGGCGAGGAGCAAGGACACGUGCUGGGUGGAGGAAGGUCAAACCCCCCUCAGCUCCCUGCCUGCAGAGGAGAGCCAGGGUAGGGCACUAAUUCUAAAUCAAGUUCACAGUUGUGAGAGACUACCACCUGGGACCAGGGGCUUCUCGUGGUUACUCGGACUCGUGUUUGCAACUUAAAGUAACCUAAGCAUUUUGUCACCAAACGGAGAUCAGAACACUGUGGGGCUGCCUAGUUCUCCCCUCGGCAUGGGGAGGAGCUUCCUCCAGUGCAGUGUGAAUGCGACAGAAAUAGAUGUCGGGGGACAAGAAUCAAGUUGCUUUCCUCUCCCAGCCCAUGAGGCCAGCUCAUCCAAGGCACCAGUGCCAGUCAGUUACCACAGGUAGGAAUCUAGUUCCUUAAAGGCAGGCCCUGCCCAACCCAGCUUUGUCCUUCUGGGCCCUGGCUCCGGGCCCCUGGCACCUGUAGAUGUUCAUUUCCUCCCUUGCUGCCUGCCACCUGACCCUGGUUGUUCAGAAGGGGCAGCAUCAGGCACCUGUGAGAGGUUAGCGGAAGGUCUCACAGAAGAGGGCUGAGAUGCUGGCCAUCCCUGCUGACAUCUGCAAGUGUCAGUCACGUAAAUGAGACAGUGCACACAAGCAGUGAAGAAAUCAGGACGCCAGACAGUCAGGCAUCGAUCAAGGGACAGCUGGCCACUAGACUUGCUAGUUACACAGACAGAGAGACAGACAGACCGCUGACAAUCAUCCACAUCCAUUCGAUAUGGACACUGCUUUCUAGAGUCUCCUCCCAGGACUCUGAAAGUGUCUCUCCUCUACUGAAGGCCCCUCCCCAGGAGGCCGGGUCCCGGGUGCUCCUGGCACAGUGCCAGCUCCUGAUCACUGACUUGGCAGCCUCCUAGCUGUUGGCUCCAGCACUGCCCCUCCUUCUUCCUCUCUCCCUCCUAAGGUGGGAGCUUCAGGCUCUGCCAAAGCAUUACUAAGAGUGGGGGUGACGUCACCCUCCCUGGUCCCACCCCUCCCCAGGCCCCCCACUUACCUUUCACCCUUGGCUGCCCCUGAGAAUAUGACACAUCCUGGGUGGGGGAAGGGCCAUCCCCGGGACAGACAUUGACGGUCCUUGGCCCCAGGCUAGCAUACUCAGAUCGCCCUGCCUCCCCCCAGCCACAGGCUGCUCUGCCUAGCUGAAGCAGCUCUGCUCCCAGAGACCACGCUGGACAGAUCCAAACGCUCACACAGGCUCUUCCACUCAUGAGUUGGGUGGCCCUGGGCAGGGGCCUGCACCUACCUGGGCCUCCUCUCUAAAAUGAGGCUAAUAAUCAGACCUGCCUCAGAGGGCCAGUGUGAGGCUUAAAUGAGGUCAGGUCCAUCAGCACUCUGCCCCAGGGAGGGGAACUUGGGUCCAUUUUGAUUGCCUGUGGGAUGUUCACUUCUGAGAUACACCUACACACACCACUACCACCAAAACCAAAAUAGAGUAGGGAGGGUGCAUGGUCCACUAAAUGUGAGGAAUGAUGCCAAAAACCUUCUCAACAUACUCCCCAUCUACCCAACCCCACCUCAGCCUUUCACAAUGAACGCUCCAAGUUUUUAUUAUAAAAAUAGCACAUGAUUAUUGUCAAAAGCCACCAUGGAGACAAAUAUAAAGCUGUAGAGGAAGCUCCUCAAUUCACUUUAAAAAUGUGAACAAGUAACAAGAGUCCAACAAACUAGAUAGAUUUGGAAAUUGAUCAAGCUUCUAGAAA